rnacentral:rRNA from 1 species
UACAGAGGUCCCGAGCGUUGUUCGGAUUCAUUGGGCGUAAAGGGUGCGUAGGCGGCGGGGCAAGUCUGAUGUGAAAUCCCGGGGCUCAACCCUGGAACUGCAUUGGAUACUGCCUUGCUAGAGUACUGGAGAGGAAACUGGAAUUUACGGUGUAGCAGUGAAAUGCGUAGAUAUCGUAAGGAAGACCAGUGGCGAAGGCGAGUUUCUGGACAGUUCCUGACACUGAGGCACGAAGGCCAGGGGAGCAAACGGG